GCCGGGAUAGCUCAGCUGGGAGAGCAACAGACUGAAGUCCCACUGGAUUCUGGAGGUCCCGUGUUCAAUCCACGGUCCUGGCA
rnacentral:tRNA from 1 species